GGUUGUUGCAACUGUGGCAUUCGGCAUGGGACUUGACAAGGGAGAUGUUGGAGCUGUAAUCCACUUCAGCGUGCCAGGCAGUUUGGAAGAAUACGUUCAGGAAAUUGGACGUGCUGGUCGCGACGGGCGAUUGUCUUAUUGUCAUCUCUUUUAUGAUAAUGAGACAUAUCUAAAGCUUCGGAGUCUUUCACACAGGUGAU